rnacentral:rRNA from 1 species
UGAGGAAUAUUGGGCAAUGCCCGCAAGGGUGACCCAGCAACGCCGCGUGGAGGAUGAAUGUCGUAAGAUUGUAAACUCCUGUUAGAGGGGAAGAAUAGUACCGGUUGGACCGGUAUAUGACUGUACCCUCAGAGAAAGCCCCGGCUAACUAAGUGCCAGCAGCCGCGGUAAUACGUAGGGGGCAAGCGUUGUCCGGAUUUACUGGGUGUAAAGGGCGCGCAGGCGGGAUAAAAAGUCAGUGGUGAAAUCCUACAGCUUAACUGUAGAACUGCCUUUGAUACUUUUAUUCUUGAGUUCGGGAGAGAGAGACGGAAUUCCAGGUGUAGUGGUGAAAUACGUAGAUAUCUGGAAGAACACCAGUUGCGAAGGCGGUCUCUUGGUCCGACACUGACGCUGAGGCGCGAAAGCGUGGGGAGCAAACA